rnacentral:rRNA from 1 species
UACAGAGGCCUCGAGCGUUAAUCGGAAUCACUGGGCUUAAAGGGUGCGUAGGCGGCGCUGCAAGUGCCUUGUGAAGUCCCAUCGCUUAACGAUGGAACUGCUCGGUAGACUGCAGUGCUUGAGGUUGGUAGGGGCUGCCGGAACUCUAGGUGGAGCGGUGAAAUGCGUAGAUAUCUAGAGGAACGCCCAAGGCGAAGGCAGGCAGCUGGGCCAAUUCUGACGCUGAGGCACGAAAGCGUGGGGAGCAAACGGG